UGAGUAAUGCGUAGGAAUCUACCUUUUAGAGGGGGAUAACCCGAGGAAACUCGGGCUAAUACCGCGUAGUAUCUCUUUUCAUAGAAAAGUUGAAGAAAGCGGGGGAUCCUUGAGUUUUUUUAAGGACCUCGCGCUAAGAGAUGAGCCUGCGUCGGAUUAGUUAGUUGGUGGGGUAAUAGCCCACCAAGACGAUGAUCCGUAGCUGGUCUGAGAGGAUGAUCAGCCACACUGGGACUGAGACACGGCCCAGACUCCUAUGGGAGGCAGCAGUGGGGAAUAUUGGACAAUGGGGGAAACCCUGAUCCAGCAAUGCCGCGUGUGUGAAGAAGGCCUUCGGGUUGUAAAGCACUUUCAGCAGGAAAGAAAGUCUUAAAGUUAAUACCUUUAAUGAGUUGACGUUACCUGCAGAAGAAGCACUGGCUAACUCUGUGCCAGCAGCCGCGGUAAUACAGAGAGUGCAAGCGUUAAUCGGAAUUACUGGGCGUAAAGCGCGCGUAGGUGGAUAUUAAAGUCGGGUGUGAAAGCCCCGAGCUUAACUCGGGAAUUGCGUUCGAUACUGAGUAUCUAGAGUAUAGUAGAGGGAAGUGGAAUUUCCGGUGUAGCGGUGAACAUGCGGAGAUAUCGGAAGGCACACCAGUGGCGAAGGCGGCUUUCCUGGACGACAGACUGACAUUGAGGUGCGAAAGCGAAGGGAGCACACUAGGAUGAGGCACCCUGG
rnacentral:rRNA from 1 species